GUUUUGGUAUCUCAGUGGUAGAGUGCAUGCUUUGUAUGUAUGAUGUCCUGGAUUCAAUUCCCAAGUACUCUCCAGGUCG